rnacentral:rRNA from 1 species
UGGGGAAUAUUGCACAAUGGGCGCAAGCCUGAUGCAGCCAUGCCGCGUGUGUGAAGAAGGCCUUCGGGUUGUAAAGCACUUUCAGCGAGGAGGAAGGGUAGUGUGUUAAUAGCACAUUGCAUUGACGUUACUCGCAGAAGAAGCACCGGCUAACUCCGUGCCAGCAGCCGCGGUAAUACGGAGGGUGCAAGCGUUAAUCGGAAUUACUGGGCGUAAAGCGCACGCAGGCGGUUUGUUAAGUCAGAUGUGAAAUCCCCGCGCUUAACGUGGGAACUGCAUUUGAAACUGGCAAGCUAGAGUCUUGUAGAGGGGGGUAGAAUUCCAGGUGUAGCGGUGAAAUGCGUAGAGAUCUGGAGGAAUACCGGUGGCGAAGGCGGCCCCCUGGACAAAGACUGACGCUCAGGUGCGAAAGCGUGGG